GAUGAACGCUAGCGAUAGGCUUAACACAUGCAAGUCGAGGGGCAGCAUGGUCUUAGCUUGCUAAGACUGAUGGCGACCGGCGCACGGGUGCGUAACGCGUAUGCAACUUGCCUCACAGAGGGGGAUAACCCGUCGAAAGACGGACUAAUACCGCGUACACUCCAUCUUGGGCAUACAAGGUAGAGGAAAUGAAAUUCGCUGUGAGACAGGCAUGCGUCCCAUUAGCUAGUUGGUGAGGUAACGGCUCACCAAGGCGACGAUGGGUAGGGGAACUGAGAGGUUGAACCCCCACACUGGUACUGAGACACGGACCAGACUCCUACGGGAGGCAGCAGUGAGGAAUAUUGGUCAAUGGGCGAGAGCCUGAACCAGCCAAGUCGCGUGAAGGAUGACUGUCUUAUGGAUUGUAAACUUCUUUUAUACGGGAAUAACAAGAGUCACGUGUGACUCCCUGCAUGUACCGUAUGAAUAAGCAUCGGCUAACUCCGUGCCAGCAGCCGCGGUAAUACGGAGGAUGCGAGCGUUAUCCGGAUUUAUUGGGUUUAAAGGGUGCGUAGGCGGCCUGUUAAGUCAGCGGUGAAAUCUAGGAGCUUAACUCCUAAAUUGCCAUUGAUACUGGCGGGCUUGAGUGUAGAUGAGGUAGGCGGAAUGCGUGGUGUAGCGGUGGAAUGCAUAGAUAUCACGCAGAACUCCGAUUGCGAAGGCAGCUUACUAAGGUACAACUGACGCUGAAGCACGAAAGCGUGGGUAUCAAACAGG
rnacentral:rRNA from 1 species